rnacentral:rRNA from 1 species
CCUACGGGUGGCAGCAGUGAGGAAUAUUGGUCAAUGGUCGGGAGACUGAACCAGCCAAGCCGCGUGAGGGAUGAAGGUACAGAGUAUCGUAAACCUCUUUUGUCAGGGGACAACGGCGGGGACUCGUCCCCGGAUGAGUGUACCUGACGAAAAAGCAUCGGCUAACUCCGUGCCAGCAGCCGCGGUAAUACGGAGGAUUCGAGCGUUAUCCGGAUUUAUUGGGUUUAAAGGGUGCGCAGGCGGUCUGUUAAGUCAGCGGUAAAAGCCCGGGGCUCAACCCCGGCCCGCCGUUGAAACUGGCAGUAUUGAGUUGGAGAGAAGUAGGCGGAAUGCGCGGUGUAGCGGUGAAAUGCAUAGAUAUCGCGCAGAACUCCGAUUGCGAAGGCAGCAUGCCGGCUCCACACUGACGCUGAGGCACGAAAGCGUGGGUAUCGAACAGGAUUAGAUACCCGGGUAGUC